UAUAGACUUGACCUUGCAACAGUGUGAAGUACCAGAAGGAUUAACCAGGGGAGUAAUGUAGUCAUAUUUGGAUUUAUGGAAGAUGCUGUUGCUUUAUAGGAUCAGUAAGAGAUGACACUCUCUCAGAGAAGUCUACAUCCAUACUGUAGGGUGUAUCUUUCUUCUAGGGGUGCCUGUCUGCCUCUUAAACUCCUACUUUUAAAAUCUAUUCUAAAGUAUAUUUAAUAAACCCCACCACAGCUUCCUGGAAAAAGCUUUGAAACUAAGAGAUGGCUUAUUGGUGAAGUCGGUGCGCAUUGACUGCUCCUCCAGAGGACCCAAGUUUAGUUCCAGCAUCCAUUUUGGGUGGCUCACAACCUCUUGUAGCCCAGUUCCAGGGAUCCCGACCCUCUCUUUGACCACCACGCCCUCUCCCAGUCAUGUGUACUCGUGUGCACAUACCACACACAGAUGUGCAUGGAUACACAUAACUUAAAAACAACAACAACAACAAAAAUCACUUGAAGUGGUUCAAGAUCAAAGGCAAAGAGCAUUUAAGAGGCUGUCAUAGGAAACCUGCAAGAAUGAGUGCUGGCUUGGACGAGGGUUGAAAGGAAUAAGGCAGUCUUAGAGGGUAUGGGAAGUGGAGGAGUCCUCUGUGACACCCAGGAUCCUGCAAAUGUCUAGCGGAUGAGUGACAGACCACUCAUAGAGGCAGGAAGUGCAGGAAAGGUUCAGAAAGGGGGUGCUGGAGAUGAGUCAUGAGGAUAAGGGACAGGGAACCUGGUUUGGGAGAUGGUGACGUUGAAACUGAUGCCCAAGAGACGCAUGGGUAGGUGAGUCAGAUAACGGGUCUCUGAGCAAGGAUGCAGACAAGGUAAAUGGAAUGCAACAGUGGGUAAUGACUGAUACCCAUAGACCUGACAUCAGAGUGGAGACUGUUUCUGGAAGUCUAGACAACACUAGGAGAGACCAUUCCAUACAACAUGUCUCUACACAGCCUGGCAGAGAAGAGGUUGAAGAAUAGAGUCCUCGGUUUCUCAUCUCAAAUCCUCCGAGCAAUCUUUAAUGAAGCGUCUCUCUGAGCCAGUUCUUGCUUGUUCGUAGUGGCUUAUUGGAUGGUGGAUGCAAAUGCAUAUGCUUUAUUUGGGGUGAACAGGGGACUAAAUACCUUUUAUGGGGAAGGACUACCCAGGAAGAGAAGUUCAUUGGUUAAAGUCUCAGGGCUAUCUAGAUUCCUCAUUAGCAUGGAGAAGACCUCAAGGUGCUACACGACAGGAUUCGGGGUUCGUGGUCCUCAGUGGGGUGUUGUGGUUAUGUGUUCCAGAGCAGGCAAGCAGACAGGUAGGGAGCAGCUUCACUCCCAUGGACUCAGAUCUCUGAGAUUCCUGGGGUCUGAGUUCAUUCAGUCUUUCCAGUUAUUAUUUCUGUCUAGAAACACAUGUGUCUAGGGGGACACAUGAAAAUUAAGAGGAAUUCUCUAAGGUGGAUCCCGUUUACAAUUCAGAGGGAAAGUUGGCUACAAGAGUCAUUAAGCAUUUGAAAAGGGAAGUCCAGUACAUGGGAAUGACUGACAUAUCCCAGAGGAGGCUGUAAAAUUAGGACAGAGCCCCUAGGCCUGACUGCAUCAACAAUAGAAUUCAGAAUAAAAAGGAUUGUCCUCUUUUGCCCCUCCGAGGGCUGAGUGGGGAGUUGCAGCAUGCUUUGGUCUGCUAAUUUUUCAAAAAGGCUCUUUUGUGUUAUGAGUCAAACUGCUUAAUGCCGUUGACUUUGCAAAAUUGGCAAGCUGGUGUUUCUUUCUGCCUUCUCCUCCUUAUUUCUUUAAGUGCCCAAUCACUGCUCCUGGGACCAGCUCGAUUCCUGCUAAUGAUGCAUGCCUGCUGAAUCUGUGUUUCUCCUUUUCUCCUUUUCUUGUCCUUUUUCUUAUUUUUAAUAUUCCAUAGUCUCAUUUCCCAUUUUAGUGGCAGAUAGGACAGUAGGGUAGGACAUGGGCCUUCAGCUGCUAGAAAGAAGUCCCUAAGGAGGUGGAGAUGGAAGACACAAGCUUUGAUAGCAUGAACCAAAUCAUGAUAGGAAGGAAGUAUGUAUAUGCUUGUGUAUGUAAAGACACAUAUAUAGAGAUAUGCAAGUGUGUGUGCACAUAUGUGCAUGUAUGUCGGUGUGGCAUAUGUAUGUGUUUGAACAGGAGAGUGCACAUGUGUGGGGAGAAGUACAUGAGCAUGCACAUAUACAGAGCGAGCAGAGGUCAGUGUCAGGUGUCGUCUUCAGUCCCUUUCCACAUUCUUAUUGUGAGUCAGGAUCUGUCAUGGAAUGUGGACUUCACCCACUCAGCUUCCCGGGCUGGGCAAGAUUGCAGGGAUCAGGGUGUCUCUCCCCCAGUCCCAGUUCUGGGUUGUAGCUUCACACCACAACAUCUGGCUUCCACUUGUGGCUUGAAGGAGCUAUACUGACAAGAGUUCAGACAGUAACUGUCCCGCUGGCUGCUUUUACACGCUGUCUCUAAGCCUGUUGUGCAACCAUUCAGAAACAGCCCCACCGUGAGAUCAAUACCAUCCGAAGAGUCUUGAGGUGAAUUCUGAUGUGGGUGCUCUUGACCUUGGUUGGGAAAUUGAAGCUGGCUUAGCUUAGUUCCCCAGGAAAGUGCUGGAGGAAAAGUUCAAUGGAGUAGUUAUCUUGUGUCCCUGAGUAAAGAUUUAUAAACAAUCAAUAGUUCUCUCAUUUGUUGUUUCUCCAAAAUUAGAGUACCAGGCAGUGUUGCUGGGACUAUCCAAUAUGCCAUUUAAGCAUGAAAAUCUAUCAAGGGACUGAAGCCCACAACAGAGCAGCCAAUUAAUGACCAGCUCCUGUGAAGACUUGUUCUUCACAGCUUCGAAAGUGCAUACCCUAAUCCUCACACUCUGAGGUACGCAGCAGAAAUACCUCAAGAAGCUGGGCAUGGUGGCCUAGGCUUGUUAUCUCAUCGUGUGAGAGGCUGAGAAAGAAGGAAGGCUCUAUACUCAAGGGCUUACUCAAGGGUUAUGGUGUGAAACCCUGUAUCAUCAUCAUCAACAACACCACCAUCACCAUCAUUAUCAACAACAACACACAAGAAAGACAGG
rnacentral:lncRNA from 1 species